UCCUUUAGGGUUUACAAUAUACAAGUAUAUAUUCCUGUUACAUGGACCAAAACCCUAGUCCAAAAACUCCCUAGACUAAUCCAAUCAAAAUGCACUCACCGAAACCUAUAUACACCCAUGGUUUGAUCAUUCACUCAACCCCAUAGACCCAAACCUAGUCUAAACUUGGAUUAACCCCCACGAGCUUCACAAACCAGGGUCUCA
rnacentral:lncRNA from 1 species